rnacentral:rRNA from 1 species
AGCAGCCGCGGUAAUUCCAGCUCCAAUAGCGUAUAUUAAAGUUGUUGCAGUUAAAAAGCUCGUAGUUGAAUUUCGGGGUUCAUACGUUGGUCGGGCUUUUUGGUCUGUACUGGCGUAAUGGAUUCCUACCUUCUGAAUAACCGGCAUGCCAUUAAUUUGGUGCGCCGGGGAAGCAGGACUGUUACCUUGAAAAAAUUAGAGUGCUUAAAGCAGGCUAUCGCCUGAAUACAUUAGCAUGGAAUAAUGAAAUAGGACGGCAUGGUUCUAUUUUGUUGGUUUCUAGGAUCACCGUAAUGAUUAAUAGGGAUAGUUGGGGGCAUUAGUAUUCAAUUGUCAGAGGUGAAAUUCUUGGAUUUAUUGAAGACUAACUUCUGCGAAAGCAUUUGCCAAGGAUGUUUUCAUUAAUCAAGAAC